rnacentral:tRNA from 1 species
GCUACUGUGGCUCAGCCGGUAGAGCAAUUGAUUCGUAAUCAAUAGGUCAGGGGUUCAAGUCCCCUCAGUAGCUCCA